rnacentral:rRNA from 1 species
GACGAACGCUGGCGGCGUGCUUAACACAUGCAAGUCGAACGGUAAGGCCCUUCGGGGUACACGAGUGGCGAACGGGUGAGUAACACGUGGGUGAUCUGCCCUGCACAUCGGGAUAAGCCUGGGAAACUGGGUCUAAUACCGAAUAGGACCACGGGAUGCAUGUCCUGUGGUGGAAAGCUUUUGCGGUGUGGGAUGGGCCCGCGGCCUAUCAGCUUGUUGGUGGGGUGAUAGCCCACCAAGGCGACGACGGGUAGCCGGCCUGAGAGGGUGUCCGGCCACACUGGGACUGAGAUACGGCCCAGACUCCUACGGGAGGCAGCAGUGGGGAAUAUUGCACAAUGGGCGAAAGCCUGAUGCAGCGACGCCGCGUGGGGGAUGACGGCCUUCGGGUUGUAAACCUCUUUCACCAUCGACGAAGGUCCGGGGUUUCUCGGAUUGACGGUAGGUGGAGAAGAAGCACCGGCCAACUACGUGCCAGCCGCCGCAGUAACAC